AGCUUUGCGCAGUGGCGAUAUCGUAACCAAUGAGGUACAUCCGAGGUGCGAUUAUUGCUAGUUGAAAACUAAAACUAAAAACUAAACUAAUAAUCAAUUUCCAUAUACAUAAACGCUUUUACUAUGUUCAACCUUUUGUGAACUUAGCCAUGUUACAUUAAAAAUUACUGAUUUAACAUUUGUU